CAAUAGCGUAUAUUAAAGCUGUUGCGGUUAAAAAGCUCGUAGUUGGAUUUCUGUCAAGGACGACUGGUCCGCCCUCCGGGUGAGCACAUAGUUUGGUCUUGGCAUCUUGCUGGAAGCUGUGCUGUGCUUGGCUGUACGGUACAGGGUCCAGCACUUUCACUUUGAGGAAAUUGGAGUGUUUCAAGCAGGCACAUGCCUUUGGACACAGUAGCAUGGAAUAAUUUGAUUGGGCUUUUGCUCCAAUUUGUCGGUUUCUGGAGCUGAGGUGAGAAUUAAUGGGGAUUGUUGGGGGCAUCCGAAUUUAGCCGUCAGAGGUGAAAUUCUUGGAUCUGCUAAAGACGGACAACUGCGAAAGCGUUUGCCCAGGAUGUUUUCAUUGA
rnacentral:rRNA from 1 species